UGGGGAAUAUUGCACAAUGGGCGCAAGCCUGAUGCAGCCAUGUAGCGUGAAGGAUGACUGCCCUAUGGGUUGUAAACUUCUUUUAUAUGGGAAUAAAGUGCAGUAUGUAUACUGCUUUGCAUGUACCUUAUGAAUAAGGAUCGGCUAACUCCGUGCCAGCAGCCGCGGUAAUACGGAGGAUCCGAGCGUUAUCCGGAUUUAUUGGGUUUAAAGGGAGCGUAGGCGGGUUGUUAAGUCAGUUGUGAAAGUUUGCGGCUCAACCGUAAAAUUGCAGUUGAUACUGGCAUCCUUGAGUACAGUAGAGGUAGGCGGAAUUCGUGGUGUAGCGGUGAAAUGCUUAGAUAUCACGAAGAACUCCGAUUGCGAAGGCAGCCUGCUGGACUGUAACUGACGCUGAUGCUCGAAAGUGUGGGGAGCAAACAGG
rnacentral:rRNA from 1 species